AGUCAUACGCUUGUCUCAAAGAUUAAGCCAUGCACGUCUAAGUACUCGCCUUGUCUAUUAAAGUGAAACCGCGAAUGGCUCAUUAAAUCAGUUAUGGUUCACUAGAUCGUACCUCAUCCUACUCGGAUAACUGUGGUAAUUCUAGAGCUAAUACAUGCAACUAGGCCCUGCCCGGCCGCCUUCACGGGUGGUCGGAAAGGGCGCCAUUAUCAGCCCAAAACCGACCGGGUUGCCCAACAGGGCUCCCGUCCUUAUACCCUUUGACGACUCUGGAUAACCUUCUAGCGGAUCGCCGGUGAACUAGGUCGGCCGGGCGGUGACGUCCGCGUCCGACCUACGGCGACUAGUCUUUCGAAUGUCUGCCUUAUCAACUGUCGACGGUAGGUUAGACGCCUACCGUGGUCGUAACGGGUGACGGGGAAUCAGGGUUCGAUUCCGGAGAGGGAGCCUGAGAAACGGCUACCACAUCCAAGGAAGGCAGCAGGCACGCAAAUUACCCAAUCCCUGCACGGGGAGGUAGUGACGAAAAAUAACGAUACGGGACUCUUAACGAGGCCUCGUAAUCGGAAUGAGUCCGCUCUAAAUCCUUUAACGAGGAUCUAUCGGAGGGCAAGUCUGGUGCCAGCAGCCGCGGUAAUUCCAGCUCCGAUAGCGUAUAUUAAAGUUGCUGCGGUUAAAAAGCUCGUAGUUGGAUUUGGGUUUUCGGGCCGGCGGGCCGCCGCCUUCGAGCGGCGCGUUUCCCGCCGCGCCCCCGGAACCGCACGGUCGCAGAGGCCCCCGCGGUGCUCUUGAGUGAGUGUCCGCGGUCUCGGGUCGCCGAACGUUUACUUUGAAAAAAUUAGAGUGCUCCAGGCAGGCCGGUAAAGCGUUUUUAAACCCGCGCCUGAAUAGUCACGCAUGGAAUAAUGAAAGAGGACCGGUGGUCCUAUUUUGUUGGUUUUCGGGAUUUUCCGCCGUCAUGAUUAAGAGGGACGGCCGGGGGCAUUCGUACCGCGGCGCGAGAGGUGAAAUUCUAGGACCGUCGCGAGACGAACCGUUGCGAAAGCAUUUGCCAAGAAUGUUUUCCUUAAUCAAGAACGAAAGUCAGAGGUUCGAAGGCGAUCAGAUACCGCCCUAGUUCUGACCGUAAACGAUGCCACCUGACGAUCCGCCAGGGUUACUACCAUGACUCGGCGGGCAGCCCCCGGGAAACCCAAGCCUUCGGGUUCCGGGGGAAGUAUGGUUGCAAAGCUGAAACUUAAAGGAAUUGACGGAAGGGCACCACCAGGAGUGGAGCCUGCGGCUUAAUUUGACUCAACACGGGGAACCUCACCCGGCCCGGACACCGCGAGGAUUGACAGAUUGAGAGCUCUUUCUCGAUUCGGUGGGUGGUGGUGCAUGGCCGUUCUUAGUUGGUGGAGCGAUUUGUCUGGUUAAUUCCGAUAACGAACGAGACUCUAGCCGGUUAAGUAGCCCGAGCGGUUUUUGAUCUUUGCCGUCCGUUGCCCCCGUCCUCGGCUGGGCAGGUUAGUCAGUGGUCAUCUGACCGUUCGUGCCCUCACGGCAUGUGACGGGAGGGGAAGCCGCUUUCUCUUCAAGCUUUUGUCGAGACGGGGCGCGGAGCAUAACCGAAGGCCGCCGGCUUUUAAGGAAGCUUCUUAGAGGGACGAGCGGCGUUCAGCCGCCCGAGAUUGAGCGAUAACAGGUCUGUGAUGCCCUUAGAUGUCCGGGGCCGCACGCGCGCUACACUGAAGGGCUCAGCGUGCUCGUUUCUCCCGAGCCGACAGGCUCGGGGAACCCGUUGAAACCCUUUCGUGCUAGGGACAGGGACUUGCAAUUGUGUCCCUCCAACGAGGAAUUCCCAGUAAGCGCGAGUCAUCAGCUCGCGUUGAUUACGUCCCUGCCCUUUGUACACACCGCCCGUCGCUACUACCGAUUGAACGAUUUAGUGAGGUCUUCGGACCGGUGGUCGUUCCGAGCGAUUUUUUUCCCUUUCGCAGGGAGGAAUCGUGCGGGGUCGGCCGGCCGGGAAGAUGCCCGAACUUGAUCGUUUAGAGGAAGUAAAAGUCGUAACAAGGUUUCCGU
rnacentral:rRNA from 1 species